CAGCGUUAUCCGGAAUUAUUGGGCGUAAAGAGCUCGUAGGCGGUUUGUCGCGUCUGCUGUGAAAUCCCGAGGCUCAACCUCGGGCCUGCUGUGGGUACGGGCUGACUAGAGUGCGGUAGGGGAGAUUGGAAUUCCUGGUGUAGCGGUGGAAUGCGCAGAUAUCAGGAGGAACACCGAUGGCGAAGGCAGAUCUCUGGGCCGUAACUGACGCUGAGGAGCGAAAGGGUGGGGAGCAAACAGGCUUAGAUACCCUGGUAGUCCACCCCGUAAACGUUGGAACUAGUUGUGGGGUCCAUUCCACGGAUUCCGUGACGCAGCUUAACGCAUUAAGUUCCCCGCCUGGGGAGUACGGCCGCAAGGCUAAAACUCAAAGGAAUUGACGGGGACCCGCACAAGCGGCGGAGCAUGCGGAUUAAUUCGAUGCAACGCGAAGAACCUUACCAAGGCUUGACAUAUACGAGAACGGGCCAGAAAUGGUCAACUCUUUGGACACUCGUAAACAGGUGGUGCAUGGUUGUCGUCAGCUCGUGUCGUGAGAUGUUGGGUUAAGUCCCGCAACGAGCGCAACCCUCGUUCUAUGUUGCCAGCACGUAAUGGUGGGAACUCAUGGGAUACUGCCGGGGUCAACUCGGAGGAAGGUGGGGAUGACGUCAAAUCAUCAUGCCCCUUAUGUCUUGGGCUUCACGCAUGCUACAAUGGCCGGUACAAAGGGCUGCAAUACCGCGAGGUGGAGCGAAUCCCAAAAAGCCGGUCCCAGUUCGGAUUGAGGUCUGCAACUCGACCUCAUGAAGUCGGAGUCGCUAGUAAUCGCAGAU
rnacentral:rRNA from 1 species